UCUACAAUCAAAUAUUUUUAAUGAUUAAUGAUAUAUUUUAAAAUUUAAUAUUCCUCAAUAUUAAUCAUACUAAAGUAUCCUUACAUUAUAUAAAUCUCACUUAAAAAUAAGUUAGUUAUUGCCUAUGUGGCAUGCUUUAGAAUGCAAAAAAGCCCAAAUAUGUUUACAUGGUGAGUUAAUCGGAACUCUACGGAUUGGUUAUUUCUAAUUCCCCCACUAGCGGUUAUACCCGAAUUAUCGAUCAAAAAAUAAGCCGCCUUCCUUUCCUUUAUAUGCUCAAUCAGUCUCUCUCUAUAUAUAUAAUCCAUCCAAUACUUCUCUCUCGCUAUUUCUAACAGCAGUUUUUUAAAGAAUCGGUUAUUUACAUCUUGGAAGCAGUUACAAGGGUUUGAUUGAGAUAAUGGCAAGAAAAACUUUGGGAACUUGAUGUCCAGGAAAGAUUCUGAAGAUGAAGAAAAUACUAGCUCCAAGGGAUAGUCUUGGCUUGAAAUAUGAUGGAGGA